GUGGCGGACGGGUGAGUAACACGUGGGAACGUGCCUUUAGGUUCGGAAUAAGCCCGGGAAACUGGGUCUAAUACCGGAUGUGCCCUUCGGGGGAAAGAUUUAUCGCCUUUAGAGCGGCCCGCGUCUGAUUAGCUAGUUGGUGGUGUAAUGGACCACCAAGGCGACGAUCAGUAGCUGGUCUGAGAGGAUGAUCAGCCACAUUGGGACUGAGACACGGCCCAAACUCCUACGGGAGGCAGCAGUGGGGAAUCUUGCGCAAUGGGCGAAAGCCUGACGCAGCCAUGCCGCGUGAAUGAUGAAGGUCUUAGGAUUGUAAAAUUCUUUCACCGGGGACGAUAAUGACGGUACCCGGAGAAGAAGCCCCGGCUAACUUCGUGCCAGCAGCCGCGGUAAUACGAAGGGGGCUAGCGUUGCUCGGAAUUACUGGGCGUAAAGGGAGCGUAGGCGGACAUUUAAGUCAGGGGUGAAAUCCCGGGGCUCAACCUCGGAACUGCCUUUGAUACUGGGUGUCUUGAGUGUGAUAGAGGUAUGUGGAACUCCGAGUGUAGAGGUGAAAUUCGUAGAUAUUCGUAAGAACACCAGUGGCGAAGGCGACAUACUGGAUCAUUACUGACGCUGAGGCUCGAAAGCGUGGGGAGCAAACAGGAUUAGAUACCCUGGUAGUCCAC
rnacentral:rRNA from 1 species